rnacentral:snRNA from 1 species
GUGCUCACUUUGGCAGCACGUAUACUAAAAUUGGAACGAUACAGAGAAGAUUAGCAGGGCCCCUGCGCAAGGAUGACACGCAAAUUUGUGAAGCGUUCCUUUUUAAA